GCUUGGCUGCUGGUUUCUCUUUUGAUUUUUUUCCUGGGGGUGAGGUGGGGUGGAAGGAUAAAUAGCCACAUUACAUUUAAUUUGGGACAUUUAAUCUGCUGUCAGAUUUGACUCCAUGCUGAAGUUGGAGGAGACACAUUGUGUCAUGGCAGCCAGUCACAUUCAAUCUGCCGUCAGGACGCUGAGGUAGAUGAAAUCUUCUACUUGGUUUCCUUUCUUUUUACUCUGCCAGGACCCGGCUUGCAGAAUGGCACCAUUCACAUUUAGGGUAAAUCCUCACAGCUAAGUGAUCAAACCUAGAAAUGUCCUCACAAGCAUGCCCAGAGGUAUUCUGAGGUGAUCCUGGAUCGUGUUGAGUUGACAAGAUUAAUCGUCACCCUGGUCAUCGCUACUCCAAGAGAGAGGGACAGGCCAAUAGGAAGAGGGAACUGGAAAUGUCACCGGAUUGAAAACAUCCUCCUGUGGAGGUUCUACUCUGGCUUAGAAAACUCAUCCUUAUACUUCACAGCCCAGCCGUCAAGACGUUGGGGGUGGGAAUGCUUGGGUCUACCCAGUCCGGAAAUGCUGAUGGUGAACGGACGUACAGACACGGAUGGACAUGCACAAGCAUGCGCACCUCCUGGACGCUGCAGCUUCAACCCAAAGGCAACCUCCACCCUGUUCCAGCAUCUUGUAUCCUCCUGCAACGUGGUGUUUUUGUUUGUUUGUUUGUUUGUUUGUUUUUACUUUUGAUUUCUUACUGCAAAACAAUUGUCACCCAGCUGGUCAAACCCCGGGGUCACGUCUAUAACCCGGCUCUCCUUGCCAUCCCAUGAAUCAUCAAACGCCGCAGAUUUUCCUUCCUGUUAGUGUCCAAAAUCAUUUGCUGGUUUCCAUUUGCUUGGUUGAUACUUUGUUCUAGGUCCCUCUCAUUUUAGGUCUGAGAUGUUGCAGUUGCUGCCUGGCUGAGCUCCUGGUCUUCAGACGUGCUCCGUUCUAAAGGUGGAUUUGCCCUUUUACUGAACGAUCCUCAACUCCAGGCUACCUUGCUUGCAACCUACCCGUUGCAAAUGUUUGCACUUGAUUUUAUAUUUGCAGCUUUACAUUUUCAGUCUGCUCCAAAUCCUCUCCAUUUUGUAUUCAGUUGCCAGGGUAAUCUUCAAGAAAAAAAAAUGACUUUUUCUUUUGGGGGCAGUCUGAGUUUACAACAAAACAGAAAAGAAAAUACAGGCUUUCUGUGUCAGUCCUACCCUACUACCUCAUAAAACCUUCACACUCUUGGCUCUCAAUCCUGGAGGAGUACAUUUGUUAAACUAAUUGACCUAUAGUGAGCAAAGUGCCACUAUCAACAUAAGUUCUUCAUUAGAUAAAGAUGAAUUUGGGGGAUUAAAGUGGCAGGAGGUGUGAUCAAAGUACAUUAUAUUUGCAUGAAAAUUGCCUUAAAUCAUGUAAGUUAAAAGUAUUCUUAAAAUGCUAAUCCUUGAAAAAUGUAUUGCUGGCCUGGAGAGAUGGCUCAGUGGUUAAGAGCACUGAUUGCUCUUCCGAAGGUCCUGAGUUCAAAUCCCAGCAACCACAUGGAAAAAUGUAUUGCUCUAUCGUGUCACUUUCUACUUUAAAACUUGCAGUUGGUUAGUUGGGUGGAGAUGGCUCGUGUCUUUUAAUCUCAGCACUCGGGAGGCAGAGGCAGGCAAAACUCUGUGAGUUCGAGGCCAUCCUGGUCUAAAGAGUGAGUUCUGGGACAGCCAGGGCUACACAGAAAAGCCCUGUCUCAACCAUAGAAAAACAAACAAACCAUCCAGCUGCUCACUAAAGUACUUCCCGUUUCCCCAUCCUCAAUGUCCACGUUAGACCUCCGCUGCUCUCCUUGUUGUAUUUACUAACCUUAUUUCCCUAUAAUCAUUGGCCGAGAAGCAAGGAGCUCCACAGAAGGUGCUAGGUGCUAGCUGCUAGCUGCUAGCUGUUGACUCCCCAGGCAGUCCUGACUGCCACACUUACAUCUUUCCUCACCAUCUCCACAAACACUGUGAAUCUGCACAACAACAACAACAACAACAACAACAAAAGACGAGCCAAGACCUAAUAUGAAUGUGCAUCUGCUCCCGUCUGACUUUAUAAAUCUUACCCAGUUUAUGCCACCUGGUCAGCCUGUUCCUCCUGGCUAUAAUUCUGCCUGGCUCACAGCAGCUGUUUCUUGGAGGGAAAGGGGGAUAUUAACUAACCUGUGGUAUUAAAAAAAAUUAUAAAAUCUAAUAUAGGGUUGUCAAUUUUGUACUUUGACAAAUAAGAACUUUAAAAAAAAUAGCUACUCUCAUGUUGAUGCUAUUAAAGAAGAGUAAUUUUAUCUCUCCACGUGAAAAGUAUCAUCUCAGAAUGAUGGCCACUUGUUUAACUGCAGCACAGUUAGCGUUGGAAAACUGACUCUGUUUCCAGGAGCGUGUGGCUGUCUCAGGUAAUGAAAAGUGCUCAGACAGAGGGUGCAUUUGGGAGUUGGCGGCACUUUCUUCUUCCCCUCACCUGCUUACUACUUAAGCACUAGAGCCCGGGGGGUACAUUUUGCACUGUCAAGUCUUUAUUUAACUUCUUGUGCACACAUGUCGUUUCCUCAACUACAA